UACGUAGGUGGCAAGCGUUGUCCGGAAUUAUUGGGCGUAAAGCGCGCGCAGGCGGUCCUUUAAGUCUGAUGUGAAAGCCCACGGCUCAACCGUGGAGGGUCAUUGGAAACUGGGGGACUUGAGUGCAGAAGAGGAGAGCGGAAUUCCACGUGUAGCGGUGAAAUGCGUAGAGAUGUGGAGGAACACCAGUGGCGAAGGCGGCUCUCUGGUCUGUAACUGACGCUGAGGCGCGAAAGCGUGGGGAGCAAACAGG
rnacentral:rRNA from 2 species